UGCUUUUCCACUUCACCCAAGGUUAGGGAAUGACAAUUAUGCUACAAGUACACCAUACAAAUAUGCAAAUGUCAGAUCAAGAUGAAAAAAGGGUGAUGAAAAAUACACCCCUAUUCAAGAGAUUGUGGAUUGUUUGUGGCGGAGUAAGCUGAGUUUUCAAGUGAUGGAGUUCAAAACCUUCUUUAGGUUCUUCUUCAAAUUUUAAUGUCGCGCUUCAUCACACUAGAUAUGCAACCCUCUUAUGGGAUUAUUAGAUGAAGAAGGCUAUUGAUGGAUAUUUUAGUGAUAAUUAAGACCUGCCUAGACCUAAACACACAUACAUUCCAUCAACUGAUUUGAAUAUGAUUGAUGUUGAGUAGUAGUUUUUUUAUUGGAUUAUGUGGUAGUUUCCCUUACUGUUUCUUAGUUUUCUAGUUUAUUGGAUAUUCCAAGACUAGUGUUUUUCUAUUUGUUUUCUUUCAAGACUGAUAUUUAGCUUUUUAAUUAAUGAA